UACGUAGGGUCCGAGCGUUGUCCGGAAUUACUGGGCGUAAAGCGUGCGCAGGCGGUCUGUUAAGACCGAUGUGAAAUCCCCGGGCUUAACCUGGGAACUGCAUUGGUGACUGGCAGGCUUUGAGUGUGGCAGAGGGAGGUAGAAUUCCACGUGUAGCAGUGAAAUGCGUAGAGAAUGUGGAGGAAUACCGAUGGCGAAGGCAGCCUCCUGGGCCAACACUGACGCUCAUGCACGAAAGCGUGGGGAGCAAACAG
rnacentral:rRNA from 1 species